GAUAGCGGCGUCGAGCGGCGGACGGGUGAGUAAUGCCUAGGAAAUUGCCCUGAUGUGGGGGAUAACCAUUGGAAACGAUGGCUAAUACCGCAUGAUGCCUACGGGCCAAAGAGGGGGACCUUCGGGCCUCUCGCGUCAGGAUAUGCCUAGGUGGGAUUAGCUAGUUGGUGAGGUAAGGGCUCACCAAGGCGACGAUCCCUAGCUGGUCUGAGAGGAUGAUCAGCCACACUGGAACUGAGACACGGUCCAGACUCCUACGGGAGGCAGCAGUGGGGAAUAUUGCACAAUGGGCGCAAGCCUGAUGCAGCCAUGCCGCGUGUGUGAAGAAGGCCUUCGGGUUGUAAAGCACUUUCAGUCGUGAGGAAGGUAGUGUAGUUAAUAGCUGCAUUAUUUGACGUUAGCGACAGAAGAAGCACCGGCUAACUCCGUGCCAGCAGCCGCGGUAAUACGGAGGGUGCGAGCGUUAAUCGGAAUUACUGGGCGUAAAGCGCAUGCAGGUGGUUUGUUAAGUCAGAUGUGAAAGCCCGGGGCUCAACCUCGGAAUUGCAUUUGAAACUGGCAGACUAGAGUACUGUAGAGGGGGGUAGAAUUUCAGGUGUAGCGGUGAAAUGCGUAGAGAUCUGAAGGAAUACCGGUGGCGAAGGCGGCCCCCUGGACAGAUACUGACACUCAGAUGCGAAAGCGUGGGGAGCAAACAGGAUUAGAUACCCUGGUAGUCCACGCCGUAAACGAUGUCUACUUGGAGGUUGUGGCCUUGAGCCGUGGCUUUCGGAGCUAACGCGUUAAGUAGACCGCCUGGGGAGUACGGUCGCAAGAUUAAAACUCAAAUGAAUUGACGGGGGCCCGCACAAGCGGUGGAGCAUGUGGUUUAAUUCGAUGCAACGCGAAGAACCUUACCUACUCUUGACAUCCAGAGAACUUUCCAGAGAUGGAUUGGUGCCUUCGGGAACUCUGAGACAGGUGCUGCAUGGCUGUCGUCAGCUCGUGUUGUGAAAUGUUGGGUUAAGUCCCGCAACGAGCGCAACCCUUAUCCUUGUUUGCCAGCGAGUAAUGUCGGGAACUCCAGGGAGACUGCCGGUGAUAAACCGGAGGAAGGUGGGGACGACGUCAAGUCAUCAUGGCCCUUACGAGUAGGGCUACACACGUGCUACAAUGGCGCAUACAGAGGGCGGCCAACUUGCGAAAGUGAGCGAAUCCCAAAAAGUGCGUCGUAGUCCGGAUUGGAGUCUGCAACUCGACUCCAUGAAGUCGGAAUCGCUAGUAAUCGUGGAUCAGAAUGCCACGGUGAAUACGUUCCCGGGCCUUGUACACACCGCCCGUCACACCAUGGGAGUGGGCUGCAAAAGAAGUAGGUAGUUUAACCUUCGGGGGGACGCUUACCACUUUGUGGUUCAUGACUGGGGUGAAG
rnacentral:rRNA from 1 species